UGGGGAUUAGCCAAGUGGUAAGGCAGCUGGUUUUGGUCCAGUGAUCGGGGGUUCGAAUCCCUCAUCCCCAGCCA
rnacentral:tRNA from 1 species